GAUGAACGCUAGCGACAGGCUUAACACAUGCAAGUCGAGGGGCAUCGGGGUUGUAGCUUGCUAUAACUGCCGGCGACCGGCGCACGGGUGAGUAACACGUAUGCAACCUGCCCGUUGCAGGGGGAUAAGCGGAAGAAAUUCCGUCUAAUACCGCGUAAUAUGGGCGAUAGGCAUCUAUCAUUCAUUAAAGAUUUAUCGGCAACGGAUGGGCAUGCGGUGCAUUAGCUAGUUGGUGAGGUAACGGCCCACCAAGGCGACGAUCAGUAGCCGGACUGAGAGGUUGACCGGCCACAUUGGGACUGAGAUACGGCCCAGACUCCUACGGGAGGCAGCAGUGGGGAAUAUUGGGCAAUGGGCGAAAGCCUGACCCAGCAAUGCCGCGUGAAGGAAGAAGGCCUC
rnacentral:rRNA from 1 species